rnacentral:rRNA from 1 species
AGUGAACGCUGGCGGCGUGCUUAACACAUGCAAGUCGAACGAGCAAGUGCUGUAGUAAUACAGAUUACUGCUAGUGGCAGACGGGUGAGUAAUACAUGGGAAUCUGCCUUGAAGUCUGGGAUAACUGUUGGAAACGACAGCUAAUACCGGAUAUUGCCGAGAGGUGAAAGAUUUAUCGCUUCAAGAUGAGCCCAUGCAAGAUUAGCUAGUUGGUGAGGUAAUGGCUCACCAAGGCGAAGAUCUUUAGCUGGUCUAAGAGGAUGAUCAGCCACACUGGAACUGAGACACGGUCCAGACUCCUACGGGAGGCAGCAGUGGGGAAUAUUGGACAAUGGGCGAAAGCCUGAUCCAGCGACGCCGCGUGAGUGAAGAAGGCCUCGGUGUAAG